rnacentral:lncRNA from 10 species
CACAGUUUAUUGAAAUUUAAUAAAAAUUAUUUCCAAAGAAUGAGAAUCCUGGGGUAGCGAGGCAAUUAAUUAAGCAAUUCAUCUUAAAAGAUGGAAUACUUGGAACACCUUAGCCAUCAUUCAAUGCCAAAAUGUUUGGGUUUUUUUCAUAUCACAUCCGUCCUAUCUUUUCAUCUUCAGUGAAUCAUUCCUCAUGUUUGUAAUUAAAGCCAUAUUUACCAUCAUAAUCUGCAGUCACCCGAGCUCAUUUUGCUCUGAAGCCAGUGAUAUUAAGCUGUUCUAUUUCUAACGUGUCCCUUAACUUGAUUCUAGUAAAAGCAGCAAGCAGUGGUAUUUAAUAUACAAACUCAUCAAAUUCCACAUAAAACAUUUAACCACAGUUUUAAAAACUCAAGUGUCCUUUACACUAGCUACCUUGGAAGUAGUACUGCACUUUUCUCACCAUGUUGUCAUUGUGUUAUGCAUUCUUGGAAUUUCCCUUUUGUAAUUACCUUAAGAUCCAUUCAUAAACCACAGAAGAAAUCAGUCUUGCUUUAUAAUCCUAUCUAGGUUGGCAUACAAAAAUAGCAUUGUCCCACUGGAUCUCUUACUUUAUAAACCAGAUGUGGCGCUACUGACUUUGGACUCUUUAGAAUGACUUCCCUUCCCACUCCACUCAACUGUCAUUGUUGGGUGAGAACAUGCUGGAGGGUGGAGCCAGGACAUUCCAUUAGAAUGUCUAAUCCCUCAAGGUGACCACUGAUGGAGACAACAUGAAUUUGCAUGUUCUAAUAAAUACAUACUUUUAAAUGGCCUCUAGAGUAGUUUUCCUUCCCUAAUCUCCAUUCCUUCCAAUUCAAGGGCAAAUUAUAAAUUUUUAUUUUUCAGGCUGCUUUUUAAAUUUCACUUUUCAGAAACACAACAAUAAGAGUUAAUGUAGUCCUCCUUUAAACUAGAAAAUACUGGUAUAGGCCAGGAAUUGCAGUUUAAAAAGAACAGGAAGAGGAUUCUGUCAACCGGUUCAGAGGAUACGAGAGAGGGGGCUAAAGAGUGACGAGGAAAAUAGCAGGAAGGGUUGGGCUCGUGCACCGACGGGGCCCAGGGGAGUGAGGGGACAAAAGUGUGAAGCGGACACAGAGUCACCGGGCCAGGUGAGGCCCAUGGGUCAGUGGGGCAGAAGGGGAAGGAAAGAGCCCGAGAAUGGGGAGAGAUUCAGGGCAAUGCAGAGAGACACGGCAGGAAACCCAGCCAAGGCUCGAGAGAAGUUGGGGAUUUGUGGGAGGAGAGGGGUGGCCGCGGAUUGGCCAUCGCGAAGAGAGGCCGCGCCCCCUAGCGUCCCUCCGGGAUGAGCCAGAACCCUGCCCGGGCGACCCUGAAGCUCUCCAAGGACCGCCC